UAAAAAUCCGAUUUCGAAAGCGAAACGAACCGCAGGUGAUUGAUCGCGGAAGUUUUGUCGACUUGAUGGGACUGGAGCUCGCUGUAACCCAAAGCCCGCCGCCAGCAGCCCAUGACGGGGAGGGAAACCGGAGCCGUGCGCGCCCGGGAAGUGGGGAUGUGGGAAGCCACGCGGCUCAGGCGCACUGGCGGUCCGGCGGCCGGGACUCCUACUUAACCCCCAAUCCGGCGUCCGGGGCGGCCGAGCGGCCGCGCAAAAUGGGAUUCAUGCGCUCGGACCGGUCGACGUCCGAUGAUAAAUGAACCUGAUUGGUUCUUCGGACUCUUCCGGACUGAGCGACCACUGUCCCUCUGCAAAGGCGCACCAAAUCCUGCACUCCAUUUAUAGCAUGACUCAGCUGUUCAAGUGUGUAGGAGGGCAGCAGGGCAACGUGGAAAAGGUGGUGGACCAGAUGGAGCAGGUGAUCAUCCAGAACUGCAACAAAGCUCACAUGGAAAAAAAGCAGAAGAGUGGAAGAUGUAAAUCAGGGCAGAGGUUAAAGGGAACAGGAAGAAGUAACAGGAAGAAAAUGGAACUCGUCCAGAUGCUCAUAAACUGCUGGCAAAAGUUGCUUAGCGUGUACGCUCCCAGCACUGGUGCCAAACACAAACUGUCGACAGACUGAAAUCAAAAUGUUUUGUUUUGACACUCACUGCUGACAUUGGAAUCAGAUACAGUUCUCAUCAAAAUCAAUAGAUAAUAGCAUUUGAAUGCCUGCACAAUACUGACUUAUAUAAAAGCUGUAACUUAUGGUGCUUACAUGCAAUUAUUAAAUUAUCCUAAACCAUAUGGAGGCCACGUCUCUCGAGAUAACACACAAACUACAGAUCCCAUAAUGCAGUGCGCACUGUGGCGAUAAACCGAGUGCCAUACUUACUGAUGACUGAAACAUGAAAAAACAAUUUUGUGCGUUUUCUUUUUCAUCAUCCAUUAGUAAAUUUAGUGUGGGGGUGUUUUGUGGUAUAGAGAAUAUUUGAUGUUCCAUUUGAUUAAAUUCACACAGUUUGUAUUCUGUUCAUUCUAAAGAAUCUUUUGACUUGAUCUAUAUUAUUUAUUUUGUUUAUUCUUUAACUCUACUUCAAAAUGUUCCUCCAUGUUCCUGGGUGUUGAACGAUCCCUUGUCAGUGACUGAGUUGAACUAGGCUUUUCAAUUUAAUGAUAUAUUUAAAAUAACAUCAUGAUAUUUUAUGCUAUUUUGAUAUGAUAUUGUCUACAUCAUUUUUCUGGUUAUGUGUUUAGGAGGACCGAUGCUUUGGUUAAUGUUCCAGGUGUCACCUACAACAAAAAAACAAUGAAACACAUAAAAUGCUGUAUAUGUAAACACAUAUAUCAUAAAAUAGCAAUAUAAGUAGAAAUUAGUAAUACUACUAUUUAGAUUACCAUAUGCAUAUCCUGUUCCC
rnacentral:lncRNA from 1 species